GAGUUUGAUCGUGGCUCAGAUUGAACGCCGGCGGCAUGCCUUACACAUGCAAGUCGAACGGCAGCAUGAUCUAGCUUGCUAGAUUGAUGGCGAGUGGCGAACGGGUGAGUAAUACAUCGGAACGUGCCCUGUAGUGGGGGAUAACUAGUCGAAAGAUUAGCUAAUACCGCAUACGACCUGAGGGUGAAAGUGGGGGACCGCAAGGCCUCAUGCUAUAGGAGCGGCCGAUGUCUGAUUAGCUAGUUGGUGGGUAAAGGCCCACCAAGGCGACGAUCAGUAGCUGGUCUGAGAGGACGAUCAGCCACACUGGGACUGAGACACGGCCCAGACUCCUACGGGAGGCAGCAGUGGGGAAUUUUGGACAAUGGGCGAAAGCCUGAUCCAGCAAUGCCGCGUGUGUG
rnacentral:rRNA from 1 species